CCCCUAGAUGUUCUGGGCCGCACGCGCGCUACACUGAACAGUUCAACAAGUCUUAACCUUGGCCGAUAGGUCUGGGUAAUCUUUGAACGCUGUUCGUGAUUGGGAUAGACCUUUGCAAUUAUGGGUCUUCAACGAGGAAUUCCUAGUAAACGCAAGUCAUCAGCUUGCAUUGAUUACGUCCCUGCCCUUUGUACACACCGCCCGUCGCACCUACCGAUUGAAUGGUCCGGUGAAAUCUCGGGACGGCGGCUUGGUCGCUUGCGUCCGACUGCUGAAACUGGAUUAAACCAUAUCAUUUAGAGGAAGGUGAAGUCGUAACA
rnacentral:rRNA from 1 species